rnacentral:rRNA from 1 species
UACGUAGGGCGCAAGCGUUGUCCGGAAUUAUUGGGCGUAAAGAGCUCGUAGGCGGUUUGUCGCGUCUGCUGUGAAAACCCGAGGCUCAACCUCGGGCCUGCAGUGGGUACGGGCAGACUAGAGUGCGGUAGGGGAGAUUGGAAUUCCUGGUGUAGCGGUGGAAUGCGCAGAUAUCAGGAGGAACACCGAUUGCGAAGGCAGCUCGCUGGGACGUAACUGACGCUGAGACGCGAAAGCGUGGGGAGCAAACAGG